AUAAAGGUAAGCUAAUUAAGCUACUGGGUUCAUACCCCAUUUAUAAAGGUUUUACCCCUUUCCUUUAUA
rnacentral:tRNA from 1 species